rnacentral:lncRNA from 1 species
AAAAAAGUCACCCUGAGCAGGAAAGAAAUAUCUUAAAAAUUCCUUUUUCAGAUGACUUGCUGUGUAGUUCAUUAGCAAGAGACACAAAAAGUACUUUCUAAAAUAAUAAUGACCCAGAACCUUGCUAUUUGAGAUAACAAGGCUCUGUUUUUGCAGGUGGCCUUCUACUCAAAGAACAAAAACUGGAAGCACCCAUUGAAUUGCCCUGUUUACAUGUGUUGAGUCAUUCUAAUGAAACAGAGCUAAUCAAGCCCUGGGUACAAAGCCCUUUAUGUUCACGAAGGAAAGGACCAGCCUCAGAUUCACUAACUUCCAGAUGCAAACACUUAUAUGGGCCUCUGCAAAGACACCAACCUGCUGUGGGUGACCUCGAAGGCAGAGCUGACUGUUAGAUAGACAACAUGAGCCUCAGCAGAAUUUACAGUUUUCUAGUGGCCACAUUUUAAAAAGUAAUGAUAAAUAGGGAUUCAGGACCUACUUGCUGCCUUGCAUAUCACGGAUGUUCAGUCGAUGUUCAUCUGAGACAACAUCACGCGGAAGGAGACGGGCCAAUUACUCAGGGUAGAUACCACAUCACACAAUUCUCAUCAGUUGGGAGGCUCGCUGGGGUUGGAGAGAAUCAGACAAAGCUAGGGAAGAGGAGGUGGGGAAGUGGCCAGUGCUUAAAAAGGAAACCUAGUUUCUACAUUUAA